rnacentral:rRNA from 1 species
UACAGAGGGUGCAAGCGUUGUUCGGAAUUAUUGGGCGUAAAGGGAGUGUAGGCGGCUUGUUAAGUCUUCUGUGAAAUCUACGGGCUCAGCCUGUAAAGUGCAGAGGAAACUGGACGAGCUUGAGUGUCGGAGAGGAUAGGGGAAGUACCCGGUGUAGAGGUGAAAUUCGUAGAGAUCGGGUGGAACACCAGUGGCGAAGGCGCCUAUCUGGCUGACAACUGACGCUGAGACUCGAAAGCAUGGGGAGCAAACAGG